UACGAAGGGAGCUAGCGUUGUUCGGAAUUACUGGGCGUAAAGGGCGCGUAGGCGGUUUACCAAGUUGGAUGUGAAAGCCCUGGGCUUAACCCGGGAAUUGCAUUCAAGACUGGUAGACUCGAAUUCGGUAGAGGUUGGUGGAAUUCCCAGUGUAGAGGUGAAAUUCGUAGAGAUUGGGAAGAACACCCGUGGCGAAGGCGGCCAACUGGACCGACAUUGACGCUGAGGCGCGAAAGCGUGGGUAGCAAACAGG
rnacentral:rRNA from 1 species